CCUACGGGUGGCAGCAGUGGGGAAUUUUCCGCAAUGGGCGAAAGCCUGACGGAGCAAUACCGCGUGAGGGAGGAAGGCUCUUGGGUCGUAAACCUCUUUUCUCAGGGAAGAAACACAUGACGGUCCCUGAGGCAUCAGCAUCGGCUAACUCCGUGCCAGCAGCCGCGGUAAUACGGAGGAUGCAAGCGUUAUCCGGAAUGAUUGGGCGUAAAGCGUCCGCAGGUGGCACAUCAAGUCUGCUGUCAAAGCCCCCAGCUUAACUGGGAAGAGGCGGUGGAAACUGGUGAGCUAGAGAGCAAUAGGGGUAGAGGGAAUUCCCGGUGUAGCGGUGAAAUGCGUAGAGAUCGGGAAGAAAACCAGUGGCGAAAGCGCUCUACUAGGUUGCAACUGACACUGAGGGACGAAAGCUAGGGGAGCGAAUGGGAUUAGAUACCCGGGUAGUC
rnacentral:rRNA from 1 species